rnacentral:rRNA from 1 species
CGGACGGGUGAGUAAUGUCUGGGAAACUGCCUGAUGGAGGGGGGUAACUACUGGAAACGGUAGCUAAUACCGCAUAACGUCGCAAGACCAAAGAGGGGGACCUUAGGGCCUCUUGCCAUCGGAUGUGCCCAGAUGGGAUUAGCUAGUAGGUGGGGUAACGGCUCACCUAGGCGACGAUCCCUAGCUGGUCUGAGAGGAUGACCAACCACACUGGAACUGAGACACGGUCCAG